CGAGUGGCGAACGGGUGAGUAAUGCAUCGGAACGUGCCCAGUAAUGGGGGGUAGCCCGGCGAAAGCCGGAUUAAUACCGCAUACGCCCUGAGGGGGAAAGCGGGGGAUCGCAAGACCUCGCGUUAUUGGAGCGGCCGAUGUCGGAUUAGCUAGUUGGUGGGGUAAAGGCCUACCAAGGCGAAGAUCCGUAGCUGGUCUGAGAGGACGACCAGCCACACUGGGACUGAGACACGGCCCAG
rnacentral:rRNA from 1 species